UACGUAGGGGGCAAGCGUUGUCCGGAAUCAUUGGGCGUAAAGAGCGUGUAGGCGGCCAGAUAAGUCCGCUGUGAAAUCUCGAGGCUCAACUUCGAGCUGUCGGUGGAAACUGUCUGGCUAGAGUCCGGAAGAGGAGAAUGGAAUUCCUGGUGUAGCGGUGAAAUGCGCAGAUAUCAGGAAGAACACCCGUGGCGAAGGCAGCUCUCUGGGACGGUACUGACGCUGAGACGCGAAAGCGUGGGGAGCGAACAGG
rnacentral:rRNA from 1 species